rnacentral:rRNA from 1 species
AGCGGCGGACGGGUGAGUAACACGUGGGCAACCUGCCCUGGAGCGGGGGAUAACAUCUGGAAACAGGUGCUAAUACCGCAUGACUACUAAAACCACAUGGUUUUCGUAUCAAAGAUGGUUUCGGCUAUCACUUUAGGAUGGGCCCGCGGUGCAUUAGCUAGUUGGUAAGGUAACGGCUUACCAAGGCGAUGAUGCAUAGCCGAGUUGAGAGACUGAUCGGCCACAUUGGGACUGAGACACGGCCCAAACUCC